GACGAACGCUGGCGGCGUGCUUAACACAUGCAAGUCGAACGGAAAGGCCCUGCUUUUGUGGGGUGCUCGAGUGGCGAACGGGUGAGUAACACGUGAGUAACCUGCCCUUGACUUUGGGAUAACUUCAGGAAACUGGGGCUAAUACCGGAUAGGAGCUCCUGCUGCAUGGUGGGGGUUGGAAAGUUUCGGCGGUUGGGGAUGGACUCGCGGCUUAUCAGCUUGUUGGUGGGGUAGUGGCUUACCAAGGCUUUGACGGGUAGCCGGCCUGGGAGGGUGAACGGCCACAUUGGUACUAAGAUACGGACCAGUCUCGAACGGGGGGCAGUGGGGGGGAAUAUUGCACAGUGAGCGGAAGCCUGAGACGGCAGCGCCGCGUGCGGGAUGACGGCCUUCGGGUUGUGAACCGCUUUAGCUUGUGACGAAGCGUGAGUGACGGUAAUGGAAAAAGAAGCACCGGCUAACUACGUG
rnacentral:rRNA from 1 species